GCUCAAAUUUGAAAUCUGGCUCUUUCAGGGUCCGAGUUGUAAUUUGUAGAGGAUGUUUCGGGCACGGUUACGGUUUAAAUUUCUUGGAACAGAAUGUCAAAGAGGGUGAGAGUCCCGUCUUGAACCGAUUACUUCGUCCAUGUGAAACUCCUUCGACGAGUCGAGUUGUUUGGGAAUGCAGCUCAAAAUGGGUGGUAAAUUUCAUCUAAAGCUAAAUAUUGGCCAGAGACCGAUAGCGCACAAGUAGAGUGAUCGAAAGAUGAAAAGCACUUUGAAAAGAGAGUUAAACAGUAUGUGAAAUUGUUGAAAGGGAAGCGCUUGCAAUCAGACUUGAGCUUAACGGUUCCCCCUUCGUUCUCGAUGGGUUAUUCCGUUUUGUCCAGGCCAACAUCAGUUCGGGUGGUUAGUUAAAGACUUUAGGAAUGUAUCUACCCUCCGGGGUCGACUUAUAGCCUAGAGUGUCAUGUAGCCUACCUGGACUGAGGAACGCGCUUCGGCUCGGAUGUUGGCGUAAUGGUUGUAAGCGACCCGUCUUGAAACACGGACCAAGGAGUCUAACAUCUAUGCGAGUUUUAGAGUUUCAAACUCUGAGGCGUAAUGAAAGUGAACGGAGGUAAGAAGCCUUUAGGCUGCAUUAUCGACCGAUCUUGAUGUCUUCGGAUGGAUUUGAGUAAGAGCAUAGCUGUUGGGACCCGAAAGAUGGUGAACUAUGCCUGAAUAGGGUGAAGCCAGAGGAAACUCUGGUGGAGGCUCGCAGCGGUUCUGACGUGCAAAUCGAUCGUCAAAUUUGGGUAUA
rnacentral:rRNA from 1 species